rnacentral:RNase_P_RNA from 1 species
AUUGCAAGCUGUCUUAUCGCUCUUCGUAUAAUCGAAGGGAGGAAAGUCCGAGCAACAUAGAGCACCGUACCUUGAGAAACCAAGGGUCUUGAUGAUAUCAGGAACAGAUAGUGCCACAGAAAACAGGUAGCCUUUAAGCUUGCUUAUAGGUCAUAGUGAAAAGGUGAGGUAAGAGCUCACCGUACUGAAUAGUAAUAUUCGGGUGCACGGAAAACCUUUCGGGUUGUAAGGUCACAUAUAUUUUUGCUUCCGAUUUAUCGGAAUAAGGGCUGCUCGUCCGAAAAUCCUUAAGGAUGGUAAAAAGGGGUAGACUGCGUUAGAUAAAUGAUAAGAGCAUUUUCAUUCAUUUGAAAAUGGACAGAACUCGGCUUAUAGGCUUGCAUUUUUA